GCGGCAGGCCGUAAUACAUGCAAGUCAGGGGGUAACGAUGACGCUUCGGUGUUGAUGAGACCCGGCGCACGGGNGCGUAACGCGUAUGCAAUCUACCUACAGCAGAGGGAUAGCCCGUGGAAACAUGGAUUAAUACCUCAUAAUACAGGGGGCCCACCUGGGCAUAUUGUUAAAGAGUUUAUCGGCUGUAGAUGAGCAUGCGUCCCAUUAGCUAGUUGGUACGGUAACGGCGUACCAAGGCGAUGAUGGGUAGGGGUUCUGAGAGGAUGAUCCCCACACUGGUACUGAGAUACGGACCAGACUCCUACGGGAGGCAGCAGUAGGGAAUAUUGGUCAAUGGACGGAAGUCUGAACCAGCCAUGCCGCGUGCAGGAAGACGGCCUUCUGGGUUGUAAACUGCUUUUAUCAGGGAAGAAAAUACUCUUGCGAGAGGGAUUGCCGGUACCUGAAGAAUAAGCACCGGCUAACUCCGUG
rnacentral:rRNA from 1 species